rnacentral:tRNA from 1 species
GGAAGAGUGGCUGAGCGGUUUAAAGCGCACGCUUGGAAAGCGUGUGGGGCGCAAGCUCUCGCAGGUUCGAAUCCUGUCUCUUCCG